ACUCAUUUUACGAGGCCAGCAUCAUCCUGAUACCAAACCCAGGCAGACUCACAACCCAAAAAGAGAAUUUUAGACCAAUUUCCUUGAUGAACAUUGAUGCAAAAAUCCUCAAUAAAAUACUGGCAAACCGAAUCUAGCAGCACAUCAAAAAGCUUAUCCACCAUGAUCAAGUGGGCUUCAUCCCUGAGAUGCAGGAAAAGAGGAAGUCAAAUUGUCCCUGUUUGCAGAUGACACUAUUGUAUAUCUAGAAAACCCCAUUGUCUCAGCCAAAAAUCUCCUUAAGCUGAUAAGCAACUUCAGCAAAUUCUCAGGAUAAAAAAUCAAUGUACAAAAAUCACAAGCAUUCUUAUACACCAAUAACAGACAAACAGACAGCCAAAUCAUGAGUGAACUCCCAUUCACAGUUGCUUCAAAGAGAAAAAAAUACCUAGGAAUCCAACUUACAAGGGA
rnacentral:lncRNA from 1 species